UACGAAGGGGGCUAGCGUUGCUCGGAAUCACUGGGCGUAAAGGGUGCGUAGGCGGGUCUUUAAGUCAGGGGUGAAAUCCUGGAGCUCAACUCCAGGACUGCCUUUGAUACUGAGGAUCUUGAGUUCGGGAGAGGUGAGUGGAACUGCGAGUGCAGAGGUGAAAUUCGUAGAUAUUCGCAAGAACACCAGUGGCGAAGGCGGCUCACUGGCCCGAUACUGACGCUGAGGCACGAAAGCGUGGGGAGCAAACAGG
rnacentral:rRNA from 1 species